rnacentral:rRNA from 1 species
CGCAUGAGACCACAGUGAGACAUCUCACAGGGGUCAAAGGAGCAAUCCGGUAAGGGGUGGGCUCGCGUCCGAUUAGAUAGUUGGUGAGGUAACGGCCCACCAAGUCGACGAUCGGUAGCCGACCUGAGAGGGUGAUCGGCCACAUUGGGACUGAGACACGGCCCAAACUCCUACGGGAGGCAGCAGUGGGGAAUAUUGGGCAAUGGGGGGAACCCUGACCCAGCAACGCCGCGUGAGGGAAGAAGGUUUUCGGAUCGUAAACCUCUGUCCUUGGUGAAGAGGAAGAGACGGUAGCCAAGGAGGAAGCCCCGGCUAACUACGUGCCAGCAGCCGCGGUAAUACGUAGGGGGCAAGCGUUGUCCGGAAUGAUUGGGCGUAAAGGGCGCGUAGGCGGCCCGGUAAGUCUGAAGUGAAAGUCCUGGUUUUAAGUUGGGAAUUGCUUUGGAUACUGUCGGGCUUGAGUGCAGGAGAGGUAAGUGGAAUUCCCAGUGUAGCGGUGAAAUGCGUAGAGAUUGGGAGGAACACCAGUGGCGAAGGCGACUUACUGGACUGUAACUGACGCUGAGGCGCGAAAGUGUGG